AUGAAGCUGGAUUCGCUAGUAAUCGCGCAUCAGCCACGGCGCGGUGAAUACGUUCCCGGGCCUUGUACACACCGCCCGUCAGGCCAUGGAAGCCGGGGGUGCCUGAAGUGCGUGACCGCAAGGAGCGCCCUAGGGUAAAACCGGUGACUGGGGCUAAGUCGUAACAAGGUAGC
rnacentral:rRNA from 1 species